rnacentral:rRNA from 1 species
CUACGGGGCGCUCCAGUAGGGAAUUUUGCGCAAUGGGCGAAAGCCUGACGCAGCAACGCCGCGUGAUCGAUGAAGCUCCUAGGAGUGUAAAGAUCUGUCAUAAGGGAAGAAAAGUUUUAAUAUUAAUAGUAUUAGAAUUUGACGGUACCUUAUAAGAAAGCACCGGCUAACUUCGUGCCAGCAGCCGCGGUAAUACGAGGGGUGCAAGCGUUGUCCGGAAUCAUUGGGCGUAAAGGGUGCGUAGGCGUCCGAGAAAGUUAUUUGUUAAAUCCUCCGGCUUAACCGGAGUUCUGCAAGUAAAACUACUCGGAUAGAGUUUAAGAGAGGAAAAUGGAAUUCCUGGUGUAGCGGUGACAUGCGUAGAUAUCAGGAGGAACAUCUAUGGCGAAGGCAGUUUUCUGGCUUAAAACUGACGCUGAGGCACGAAAGCGUGGGGAGCAAACAGGAUUAGAUACCCUUGUAGUC